rnacentral:rRNA from 1 species
UACGGAGGGUGCAAGCGUUAUCCGGAUUCACUGGGUUUAAAGGGUGCGUAGGUGGGCAGUUAAGUCAGUGGUGAAAUCUCCGGGCUCAACCCGGAAACUGCCAUUGAUACUAUCUGUCUUGAAUAUCGUGGAGGUAAGCGGAAUAUGUCAUGUAGCGGUGAAAUGCUUAGAUAUGACAUAGAACACCAAUUGCGAAGGCAGCUUACUACCCGAAUAUUGACACUGAGGCGCGAUAGCGUGGGGAUCAAACAGG